rnacentral:rRNA from 1 species
UACGGAGGGUGCAAGCGUUGUCCGGAAUCACUGGGCGUAAAGGGCGCGUAGGCGGCUCGGUAAGUAGGGGGUGAAAUCCUGCGGCUUAACCGCAGGGCUGCCUUCUAAACUGUCGAGCUUGAGCACGGUAGAGGCAGAUGGAAUUCCCGGUGUAGCGGUGGAAUGCGUAGAGAUCGGGAAGAACAUCAGUGGCGAAGGCGGUUCUCUGGGCCUGACGCUCAGGAGCGAAAGCGUGGGGAGCGAUCCGG